rnacentral:rRNA from 1 species
GCCUAGGAACCUGCCUGGUAGUGGGGGAUAACGUUCGGAAACGGACGCUAAUACCGCAUACGUCCUACGGGAGAAAGCAGGGGACCUUCGGGCCUUGCGCUAUCAGAUGAGCCUAGGUCGGAUUAGCUAGUUGGUGAGGUAAUGGCUCACCAAGGCGACGAUCCGUAACUGGUCUGAGAGGAUGAUCAGUCACACUGGAACUGAGACACGGUCCAGACUCCUAC